rnacentral:rRNA from 1 species
CCCUACGGGGCGCAGCAGUGGGGAAUAUUGCACAAUGGGGGGAACCCUGAUGCAGCGACGCCGCGUGGGUGAAGGAGUAUUUCGGUAUGUAAAGCCCUAUCAGCAGGGAAGAACAAUGACGGUACCUGACUAAGAAGCACCGGCUAAAUACGUGCCAGCAGCCGCGGUAAUACGUAUGGUGCAAGCGUUAUCCGGAUUUACUGGGUGAAAAGGGAGCGCAGGCGGUUCAAUAAGUCUGAUGUGAAAGCCUUCGGCUCAACCGGAGAAUUGCAUCAGAAACUGUUGAACUU